CGCCCGUCGCUCCUACCGAUUGGGUGUGCUGGUGAAGCGUUCGGAUUGGCGGCCUCCGGCGGUUCGCCGCUGGGAGCAGCUGAGAAGUUCGUUAAACCCUCCCACCUAGAGGAAGGAGAAGUCGUAACAAGGUUUCC
rnacentral:rRNA from 1 species